rnacentral:rRNA from 1 species
GACGAACGCUGGCGGCGUGCUUAACACAUGCAAGUCGAACGGACCCUUUGGGGUUAGUGGCGAACGGGUGAGUAACACGUGGGUGAUCUGCCCUGCACUUUGGGAUAAGCCUGGGAAACUGGGUCUAAUACCGGAUAGGACUACGCACUGCAUGGUGUGUGGUGGAAAGCUUUUGCGGUGUGGGAUGGGCCCGCGGCCUAUCAGCUUGUUGGUGGGGUGAUGGCCUACCAAGGCGACGACGGGUAGCCGGCCUGAGAGGGUGACCGGCCACACUGGGACUGAGAUACGGCCCAGACUCCUACGGGAGGCAGCAGUGGGGAAUAUUGCACAAUGGGCGCAAGCCUGAUGCAGCGACGCCGCGUGAGGGAUGACGGCCUUCGGGUUGUAAACCUCUUUCGCCAGGGACGAAGCGCAAGUGACGGUACCUGGAGAAGAAGGACCGGCCAACUACGUGCCAGCAGCCGCGGUAAUACGUAGGGUCCGAGCGUUGUCCGGAAUUACUGGGCGUAAAGAGCUCGUAGGUGGUUUGUCGCGUUGUUCGUGAAAACUCACAGCUUAACUGUGGGCGUGCGGGCGAUACGGGCAGACUGGAGUACUGCAGGGGAGACUGGAAUUCCUGGUGUAGCGGUGGAAUGCGCAGAUAUCAGGAGGAACACCGGUGGCGAAGGCGGGUCUCUGGGCAGUAACUGACGCUGAGGAGCGAAAGCGUGGGGAGCGAACAGGAUUAGAUACCCUGGUAGUCCACGCCGUAAACGGUGGGUACUAGGUGUGGGUUUCCUUCCUUGGGAUCCGUGCCGUAGCUAACGCAUUAAGUACCCCGCCUGGGGAGUACGGCCGCAAGGCUAAAACUCAAAGGAAUUGACGGGGGCCCGCACAAGCGGCGGAGCAUGUGGAUUAAUUCGAUGCAACGCGAAGAACCUUACCUGGGUUUGACAUGCACAGGACGCCGGCAGAGAUGUCGGUUCCCUUGUGGCCUGUGUGCAGGUGGUGCAUGGCUGUCGUCAGCUCGUGUCGUGAGAUGUUGGGUUAAGUCCCGCAACGAGCGCAACCCUUGUCUCAUGUUGCCAGCACGUUAUGGUGGGGACUCGUGAGAGACUGCCGGGGUCAACUCGGAGGAAGGUGGGGAUGACGUCAAGUCAUCAUGCCCCUUAUGUCCAGGGCUUCACACAUGCUACAAUGGCCGGUACAAAGGGCUGCGAUGCCGUGAGGUGGAGCGAAUCCUUUCAAAGCCGGUCUCAGUUCGGAUCGGGGUCUGCAACUCGACCCCGUGAAGUCGGAGUCGCUAGUAAUCGCAGAUCAGCAACGCUGCGGUGAAUACGUUCCCGGGCCU